rnacentral:lncRNA from 1 species
GCAAAAUAUAUUAUGAAUCUAAAUAACAAAGUUUGAAUUUAAUUGUGGAAAAGGUUAUAAAAACAACGUCGCAUCAGGUUAACUACCUAGGAGUGACUGGAGCCACAGAUGUUUUUGGCAUGGCACAUCAAAUUUUAACAAAAGUUUUUACAAAAGAACUUGCAUCAAAGCUAAAUUCGGCUGGACAAAGCCAAAAAAUGGGUUUCAAAGGCUUUAAUAUUAUUGUUUGCAUUAAAGGUGCUGUUCAUUUGCACAAAACUAUGAAAGCAGCAGAUGGCAAAAUAGAACAAAGCAUAAAAUCCUGGCUAAAGUAUUCCUUAGACGUGCUGGAGGGCGGGAUGCUCCUGAAAGAGGGGCCAAAAAAUUUGAGUUUCGUCAAGUCAUUGUGAAAUAAGUGAGAUAGAAAACAACUCUGAUGAUUACGAUACUGCUAGUGCUAGUCGUCUGUAGCCAUCACACAUCAGUACACAUUACAUCUACGCUAACCUUUAAAAUUUUUUAUUAACGAGUUGACCAUUUUUUGUCAUUGUAAAUUUUAAAUUAUGAAAAUAAAGUAUGCUUAAUUUAAAACAUUUGUUUUGCUAUAGUUUAUGAUACAACAAAGUUUGUAUGUCCGAUUUCGGACGUCCACGUUGACGUUAUGUUAAGUUUGAAUGGCCAAGUCUGGGUGGAAUGCAAGAAGCAAACUUGAAUCAAGUUCAAACCAAUAGCGGCAGAAUAUGGUGAUAUGUAUUCAGAUAUGAAUACAUAUCACUAAUAUCUGUUACGCCCCUUAUUCUUGAUUGCUUCAGCGAUUCUUGCAGGUAUAGAAUUUACAAGAUUUUUAUAAACAUCAACGUUAUGUCUGUGCACCACACACAUGUAAUGAUGGCACGAAGAUCAUCUAAAUUUGAUGGUUUCUAUUUAUCAAUCUUUAGUUUCAUUAUAUCAAUUCAUCUUUAUCAAUCUUUAGUUUCAUGGCAGGGAGCAUAAACAGUUUGCAGUUGUGAAUCUGCAUAACUAUCAAAAGUUUUUCAUCCAGUAUGGUAAUAUAUUUUGGUGUAUUCGUAGUGGUAUUUUGUUCAAGAAAGUAGAGGGAGCCUAACCCAGACGCUGAGAAGCUGCCCCAUACCAUCAAGUAUGCUGCAUGUUUAACAGUUUGUAUGCAAAACUUUGAAUCAAAUCUUUUAUUGGCUGGACGGUGAACAUAUCUUGGUGCUGCAAAAAACAAUUUUAUGUUACUUUCGUCACUAAACAUUACUUCAUUCCAUAUUUCACAAUUGUAAUGUUUGAUUUUCCUGCAAAAAAUUAAGCCAUCACAAACGUUCUUUGAUAACAGCGUUUUUGGUGCAGGUUGGUACGCUUUUAGAUUAAAAGUGUCACUUAAACGUUGUUGAAUGGUUCUUUCACUAAGUUACUGUGAUAGUUGACUUGCUACGGCAGAGGAUGAUAUCAUUGGAUUCUUCAACACGUAUCGUUUUAUUGCUCAAUCUGUAUCAGGAGUUGUAACCUUAGGGCAUCCUGUCUCUUGCCAACUUGCUGGGAAACAUUAAGAUGUUGUGGUGCAGCUACUUGUGUUAAACCCAAGUUAACUAAUGCAUUAAUCUGACCACAUUUUUUAGAUGAAAAUUCCAUUUUUGGUAUGAAAUUAUUGAUCUAAAGUAAACAAAGAACACAGCAUAAACAAACAAAAAAAUGAAACUAUUUUAUUUUUUUUAAAUAAAAGAUAAUCUCAAUUAGUUCAAGCAAUAAAAACA